ACCAUGAGCAAGCACUUGGCAUCAGUGGCAAGAAAAAACUUCCUUUAAGAGGCAGAAACCUUGGGCAGAACCAGACUCAAAGGUGGGCGGCCAUCUGCCGCUGCCAGUUGGGUUGAGAAAGAGUAACUUUAGAUUCACUAUCAUAUCAGCAUAUAGCUGUAUAGUAUUACUAAAGUAACUUUCUAUAGUGCAUCUGAAAAAAAACAUAGAAAUACUAUUGAAAACACUAUAGUAAUACUAUAAAAAUAAUAUAGUAUAACUAUAGUAAUUUCCUGAAAAAACAUAGAAAUACUACAGGAAAUACUAAAGGAAUUAUAUACAGUGGUGUGAAAAAGUGUUCGCCCCCUUCCUGAUUUUGGGACUAGCACAAGUGAUUUGUGCACUUGUGUAUUCCCAAACGGGGCCAAGUGUGUCCCAACCCGCAAUGCCUCUGUCUAGCUAACUGCAUUCCUUUAAAAGCAAAAGUGUAGCUACAUGCUGUCAUGUAGGCUAAUUCAAACCUUGAUUCAUUGACCCCAAAAGAUUAUGCUUAACAUUUACAUUAAGUGAUGGGUGAUCCAGUUAUUUCCUCUAAAAGUGGAGUUUUAAAGUCCAUAGUUUUACAUAUCAUAGCAUCUUUUGUAUUGUAAAUUACCUAAAUAAUCUGUUGUUUUUCAUGUUUAUUCAUUUUAUAGGUAUUUUCUUAAGGCUGUUAAUUUUGUUUGUUAGUUACAUUAUAAACACUGGUGCUUUUAUUUUGAAAGAGUAAUGCUGACAGGAGAAAAAGAUGCAUGGUAAAAACGGCAGGUAUGUCGUCCAAAAAAAAGAAGGUUGUCUUACUUUUUGUUUGUUUAGCACCUGGCUGAUAAGUAGAGCUGGGUAUCGCCACUGAUUUCCCUAAUCAAUUAGAUUUUGAUUCACAAGGUCCCGAUUCGAUUCAAUAUCGAUUCGUUUAGGGACAUUUCAGUAACAAUACCAAUUUUGCUUGGAUAUGAAAGAGAUUCUCAGAGAACUAAUGCUGUAAAUUGUACAAGGAACCCUCUAACCAUUAUUUAAAAUAUUAAUGUUUACAUUAAGAAUUUACCCUUUAAAUCACCUAUAACAGAGCUGAUAUUUCUCGAAUCACAAAACCUCUUGUUAUGAAUUUUAGCGUCAUUCAUGCUUUAAUACUGCGUGGUUAUGUAUCAACACUGUUUGUGAGCUUCCAUCUCCUUACCUUUGGCGCAUCUAUGUGCUGUUUUUAGCUCAGAGAAAGAGUUCAUCAAGCUGGCAGCACAACACGUGAAAGCAGCCAAAUCUGUAAAGUUUCCCCAAGUAUUCAAGUAUUGCACCCUUGGUUCUUUCUGCACUUCGCGGCCCGAGAAAGCUUCUCCUGGAGAGGAGCAACUAAUACUGGUUACUGGGGUCCCGCUGCAGCUUGGGGAAAACCGGCUACAUCCCAGCCUCAUACAUCGAAAAAUAAGUUAUGGGUAAACACCACUUUCUGACCUGGGUGUUUUUUUCCUUCUCUUUUUAGCUACUUAGCUAAUGUCAAUCUGCUUGUUCCUUGUCUCCACGCAGUAUUUUUUUCUCUCACCACACAAGUGUUUCACUCCAGCGCCCUGCCAGCGCGUCUCUGCCAGAAAAAAAACGCUAUAGCCUAUGGACACAAAGAUCGAUCUCUGAUUUUAUGAAUCGAUAUCAGAUAAUUCAAAUAAUGAUCGAUUUGAAUUAGAAAAUCGAUUUUUUUAAAAACCAGCCCUACUGAUAAGGGCACAUGGUUUGUCAAUAUUUAGUGUCUUAUUGUGAUUGAUAGUGGGUGACUUUAUAUCAUCCUUUUGUAGUUUUGCUUAGUUGGAGGAUGAGUGUGUAGGCUAGCAAGGAUGCUGUGUUGGAUGUAUCUAAUUCCAGUCAUGUUAACAAGCAAUUAGCAUUCCUUGGCUUUGUAACAUGUGGUCUGAAGAAAUGCUGUACUACUGAAGUGUGCAUUGCAGUAUCUACAGUAGGGGAGAAUGGGUAAGACAAGCCAGUGGGUAAAAUGAGCCACCCCCUGUAUCUAGGUAACCAUAAACAAAAGUAAUCAUGUGACCAGAAAUUGAGGAAGUAUAGUUCACAUUACUCAAUCCAUCUUGGACUCAAGCACAUGGAGAGAGUGGUAAGCAAAACAGAGCAAAAAAAUGUUUUUGUCAUGCCAAGUGAAUUCAUCAUGUUACUCAUGUUAAGUCAUCAGUCUUGUAUCUUAAUUAAAAUAGAUCAAUUUUGGACUUUAUUACAUAUUAAUUUAAGUCAGCGUAAACUACUAAAUAAGGUAUAUUAUUUACGAUUAUAAAUAAUCGUGGAUCUGAGACACUGUGUAAAACUGUUUUGUCAAAAUGGAGUUUGUGGGGUAAAACAUACCAGUGAAGUUGAGUCAAUGGCUCAGUUUACCCCCAAAAGUUUAAAUAGGCUACAUAUGUACAGAGUAACCUGUGGAUUUAAGUAUUAUUUUCUAUAUUAUACAGAUAAGAUUAAGAUGGCAAGGUAGUACAAAAGAGAGACAAAUAGAGGCUCAGCUUCCUUGGAUGAUCCAAAGAGAGCAGCAAGGCAAGUGUCAGAGGGGAGGUUCAAUCGGUCUGUGGCAAAGGACCACAAGAUAGACAGAAUGACACCUAAGAGGUAUAUCGACAAAACAAGUAGCCUAAAGGAGAAGUUCCCAGAACAGGUUAUGCCCGACUAGCAAAAGCUCAUAAGAUUUUUGAUAAUAACAUGGAGUUUGAACUUGCCAACCACAUCAAGAAACUUGCAGACCAGUUUCAUGGACUAACUCCCUAAAAUGCAGAGAACUUGCAUUUGAGUUAGCAAGCAAGAAUGGCAUCCCAUGCUCCUUUUACCCCUACCUUGGGGCAAGUUGUGCCAACUUGUUUUAAUUUCCAUGGGUACACAACAAAGUGAAGUGUUUUUUGAGCUGUAAACUAAAUUAUAUGACUGGACUGUGAUGAAACACAUCAAUGCUGGUGUUAAUAUUGACAUUCUUAACAAAUUUAUGAAAAUCUGUAUUUCAUGGGUUGAAAAUGGCUCAACACGUUAUCUACUGUUAGUCAUCCUGAACCUUGCAAGGCCAAUGCUGAUAGAGAGUCGACCGUUUGGUACUAAUUUAUGUCAUGACAUUUAUGUGUGACAUUUAUGACUGUUAAUGCCCUCUAAUCAGAGGGCACCUCCCCCUGCCUUUGAGUGGGAGUCUGUGAAACAACAUUUUCAAAAAUAUGCAGAUCGUGAUGCAUCAUUCACAGGAGUUUAUGCUAGUUUUUGCUAACCCUCUACUUAGUAUUUUUCAAUUUUGCCACAGUGGUUCGGACUUUUGCUUUUGACGGCUGUAGAAGCACCACCGGACUGAAUUCUUUCCCUUCAUAAUGAUCCCAUGAUAAACAGCAGGGCUAUGGCUACAGACUGACACUCCCCCACACACACUCACCAGAGAGACUUUCAGCCUCUCUGAGCCACUAACGUUAGCUCAGCUACAACACAGGUACCACACAGAAACUUUUACAAAAGGUCCAUGAAUGUGCUUCUGACUGUCAAAGCUCCAGUGUGUUUCCAGUGUGGACACAGAGAGCCUGACAGCAGCUGCUCAUGGCCGGUUAGCUGUCUGUCGCUCUCUCUGGUCGGUGUCUCCUUACCUCCCCCAAGGACACAUGAGGCCACGCCCCCAAAAGUGUUUGUCCUUCAGUCUUUUGCUGCAUUUCUUAAAUGUGCUUAGGAGGGAGGGAGCUAGCAGAAUUUGGGGAAUCUGACGUUUGGACGAGGAAGAGGAGAACAUGACAGGGGCCAUUGUCAAGGUGCCCUCCUGUCCCAUUCCACCAACAAAAGUCCAUCCAGAUGGGGUCUGGAUAGGGCUGGGACGAUUUAUCGAUCUAUCGAUUAUGGAAAUACAUUGAUACAUCAUACCAGUCCCAGCUCCGCGGCUGCAGCAGCCUCCUUCAGUCCCAGCUCCGCGGCCGCAGCAGUCUCCUCCAGUCCCAGCUGGAUCGCAGCAGCCUCUGGUUUCCAGUCCAGAGGCCCAGACGCCGGUUUCCAGUCCAGCAGUCCUGUCGCCGGUUUCCAGUCUAGAAGUCCCGUCGCCUGUUUCCAGCCCUGAAGUCUCGUCGCCUGUUUCCAGUCCUGAAGUCCCGUUGCUGGCUCCCAGUCCCGUUGCUGGCUCCCAGUCCUGCAGUCCUGUCGCCAGCUCUCCGUCCUGCUGUCCCGUCGCCGGCCCCUUGUCCGGUCGACCACAAGCAUUCCACCAGGCCUCCAGAUGGGGUUGAACUUCAUCACAAGACACCUCACCUGUCCAGUCCCCGGGCCGUCCGCCCGAGGUCCCCAGCUCCGCGCCAGGCCAGUUCCCGGGUCGUCCGCCGGAGGUCCUCAGCUCCACCCUGGUUCGGCUUCAUGGUCAUCAGCCCGAGACUCCCCGAUCCACACCGAUCCAAGCUCCUGGUUGUCCAUCCAUACGCCAGGCUCCAUACUGAACUCACCUCAGCAUGUGUCCGACCUCGUUCAGGACACAUACUGAGUACUAAGUUUAGGACUCUCCAUGCCACUCGGCAUAACACUUCGUUUCUCCUGUCUCCAGCGUUUCUCCUGUUUCCCUCCAGCAAUCUCCCUACCUGCCUCCAGUGAUCUCCCUGCUUGCCUCCAGUGAUCUCCCUCCUACAGACUUCCCUCUUUUCACACCCAAUAUAUCUAGCUGUCAUUCAAUAAAGAACUUUCUGGUCCA